AACGAACGCUGGCGGCAUGCCUAACACAUGCAAGUCGAACGAGACCUUCGGGUCUUGUGGCGCACGGGUGCGUCACGCGUGGGAACCUUCCCUUAGGUUCGGAAUAACUCCCCGAAAGGGGUGCUAAUACCGGAUAAUGUCUUCUGACCAAAGAUUUAUUGCCUUUGGUUGUGCGCGCGUUGGAUUAGCUAGUUGGUAGGGUAAAAGCCUACCAAGGCGACGAUGCAUAGCUGGUCUGAGAGGCUGAUCAGCCACACUGGGACUGAGAAACGGCCCAGACUCUUACGGGAGGCAGGAGUGGGGAAUGGUGGAACGUGGGGGGAGGCAUGAUGCAGUAAUGACGGGUAAGUGAUGAAGGCAUUAGGGUAGUAAAGCUCAAUUACCCGGGAUGAUAAUGACGGUACCGAGAGAAUAAGCUCCGGCUAACUCCGUG
rnacentral:rRNA from 1 species